AGAUGCUGGGCUGGGAUUCAGCAAGGAUAGAAAGCCACAGCCCUGUGGAAGCCUGAAGAGGAGUUGUUGUCAUGCCUGGACACAGGAGAGCGAUGUUUAUGCUCCUGCUCAGGGCAGGGGUCCCCUCUUCUUGGCUGGUCUUAAUCCACCUUUGCUGCUGGCAAAAGGAAGUCUCAGCAUCCGAGUCAGAGUGGGAUGCAAAUGCUGCCUUCCAUGGGUUGUGUUCCCAUGUUCGUGCUGGUGCCUGCUCUGCUAGUUCAGCACUAGUGUGAGACCUCUGCCCCCAGCUCAGUCCCUUGGCUAAUUUGGCAGGCCCCACCUCUCUGAGGGGACAUCACAGCCAUCUGACUGUAGGGCUCUGGGCUGAGAGUAUGUGCCCUCCUCCCUCCCUGGCCAUGCUGCUCCCACGGGAAAGAAGCAGCUGAGGAUCUGAGCACUAAUGUAUGAAGAUCUGAAGGUCUGUGUGGUCAAUCCCCACUGCCCAAACCAGCUGCCACCCGGCCAAUGGCCGCUCGUGUCCCCAGCGGACGGAGCCUGCUCUCCAACAGCCCACACUGCUCGAGUUACACCAUCAAGAACCCACAGAAGAUGAGAGGAAAUGUCAGAGAAAAGAGGACUUUGCAAGUUGCCUAUGGAAGUGCAAGAGCUGUGCUGGCAUGUGACAUCUCUCCAUUCACACUUCUGAUGGUGCACCCUUGUGUCCUGGACAGCUUGGUGCCUUUCGAGACAUGUUUCAGAUCCUGGGGGACUGAACAGGGCUCGUGCCAUGUAGCUUUUGGUCCCUUGCUUUUAGGCUUGCAAGGAGCAGUUAUGUUGCAAGUAUGAGAGCAGUUGCUCAGCCUCUGGCUCUGCUUUGCACAUGCUGCCUCUCCUUUCUGUCUCCAAGAGAAACAGGCAUUCGAGAAACUGCCACAAAAAAUACAUCUCUUUACAUCAUUGCAAAUCAGAUUGGGGAGGAAUCUAGGGUGGAGUUGGAUGAGUGGGUGUUGUCCUUAAGUGUCCCCAAGGGUCUUUUUAGUCCAUGCAUUUGCCGGUGUGAUUUGCAGUCUAUUCUCGUUAAAAGCACAGGCUUUCUCCAGCUUCUUCUUCUUCCUGCCUAAAGAGCUUUCCAAUAGGUAGAAAUUACAUCCUUACCAGUAAAACCCAGGUAAAAUUGACCUGCUCCAUGGGGAGUUGGUGCAAAGGUGCCCAUCCCCUGAGCAGUCCCUGUGCACCACAACGUGGGCAGCUCUUCUUAGCUUCUUACCUUCUGAUGGGAGCUUCUUUUUUUAGGAGGCAAAGCAUAAAUGAAGAAGGUAUUCUGCAGGCAUUGUCAUUUGUGUGCUAAAAACAACACUUGCCUUGCAGGGAAGUCAAAGGUCCAAAUGUGCCUGUAACACGGAAAAAAAAAUGUGUGAGGCCCCAGGUAUGGUGAAUUUGACCCUCCAUCUCCACUUUUCACAGCUUCAUGUUAAUUGGAGAGUAGACACACUGCCAGCUCACUCUCUGGGGAGAAGAAGGCAGGAACCAAUUUGCAGAGCCACAUAAAUAUGGAAGUAGGAUUUUUCUUUUACGUGGGAGGUGUUACCAGUACCACACAUUAUGGUUUCUUGGCUUUAUCACACUGUAGGCUUUUACUGAGACAUGAGUAAGUUUGCUAAAUAAGGAAUAUGAAAAUAGCUUGUGAAAUAGGUUGAGUCAUCAGAGAAAAUCAAAUGGAGUUCUGACACCAGGGCCUCAGUUGUAAAGUCCUACUUUAUUUUACCAUUGCAUUAGAAAUUUCAGGGUCAUUUCAACCUUUUUAUUUCAGCUUCAAAAUUCAAGGUAUUCUGACAUCUAAGUAAAGCUUACCAAAUCAGUUCAGGUUUUCCAUCAGCAGUGGUGAUACACUCCUAUGUGUCCUGCUUAUGAACGCUUGCAGGCAAUGUAAAGGUUACCAAGAGAAAUGGCUUCUGCAGCAAUGGCUGAAAUGCUCAGCACUUCUUCCAGCCUUGUCUAACUAUUGAAGAGUGUGGCCCCUGGAUAUCCCUUUCAUGCACUAGCCUACCCCAUGGAAGUCACUGGCUGUUUUUUGUAGCUUCUGGGAAUCCUAGAAGGACACCAAACAAACCCAUAAAUGCAGUAACUCAAGAUCAGGAGUCAACACUGUAGAUAGAAAGGGGGAAAGAAUCUUAAAGGGCCUCAGGGACAGCAUUGCCUGAGAACUCCCAUAUUUCUGUCAGGGAUUGUUCUCAUAUCCCAAAAUAUGACUUGUUCUGGGGAGAUUGUGGGCAGAAAGAAUCUCUAGGACACAAGCUUGCAUGAGAUCCAAUGGAUCCACAAGACAUGCCAUGCAUGAGGAGAA